CAGAGCCAUGAUGAUGAUAUAAAAGAUUGCGCUGUGUCUCAUCUACAACCAGCUUUUGAUCACACUCAACUCAAAGGUCAAAAACCAUUGGAUCCGACGGAUAGACCAAAGGCCAUAGCCCAUCAGGCAUUUUAGAAGAAAACGUUCAGUUAUGGAGUCUUUCUGGGGAGUCAUGUCCAGAAGGAACAGUUCCAAUCAGAAGAACUACAGAAGAAGAUAUGUUAAGAGCUAGUUCUGUCAGAAGAUUUGGAAGGAAACCAAGAAGACAUGUUAGAAGAGACUCCAGCAGCAAUGUAUUAAGAAACAUGAUCAAAAGAAUAAGAAUGGAGCAGUGAUGAAGAAAGUCAGCAAGGCUCGUGUAAAGAAGACUAAAGAAUAGAAGAAAGUUAUAAGACUAAACGACAAUAGUAUUGGUGUUUUGCUAAGAAAGCUACUCGUAGUAUUAAAAGGAUAAGUGGAGCACGUGACAUGCAUGUGGGAGAGUUGGCUGAGUCAUUAGACAGAUGGCUAAUGAUUAUUGGUAGCUUGUAAAUAGGAAAAUCUGUUAGGAAUCUGUUAGAGGCGGUUAGUGAUCUUCCCGCUCUUUCUUCUUCUGGUAGAGCAGUAGUCGUAGUAUAAAUAUAAAGCAGUGCAUUGUAAUUCAUUCACUUCUUGUAAUACAGAAAUUAAGCAAUAAGAAUUUUCUCUCUUACUCAGAAAA